UCUGCGAUCAAUGCGUGGCACUGGCACCGGUCGUCAUGGUAACGGUGCGCGCCACGCACAGCGAACGAACGAUCCGCCUCGAUCGUGCGUAAGUGCGUGCUCGCGUAGCCCCGCUGGCCCCUGGUGCGCUCGCGCUCAACCACCGCACCGUCAGGGGUGUACACGAGCGGCCAUGUGUGCGUGCGUGCAUGUGAGUUCGUACGCGAGGGGCACGAGUCGCGUCGUGCUACCUACCGCCGCUUUAUGUGCGUAAGGAUCCAGGUUGAGGUUUUCGGAAACACACUCGAGCCUCUAGGAGCUGGCGGAAGCUGCGAGAACUCGCAAUCUGCGUUUCGCGAAUCGAAUCUCACCACGGCUGACAUUUUUUACCCAAGUACCAGAUUAUUGCUUCUCCCGUUUUGUAACAUUUUCAUAUCGCUCUUGUCAUAUCGAGUUUGAUGGAUGUCUCGGAACAUCUAAAGUCGGGGAGCAUUUCUUGGAAAUUUUUAGAUGAAGAUUUAAAGGACUGGGAUUUUGGAGGGGAAAGCAGAAAUGGGAGGUUGGUACCUUGGUUGUUGUAACUUGAUGUGGUUCUGACAUGGAACGAAGGUUUCGCGCUUGUUAUUGAGAUAUCAGCACGUCGUUGCACGAUAAUUUACUAUAUAAGCACGUAAUAAUAUCGGCGAAUUGACUAGUGGCAAGUCGUUGGUUAUAGACACGUUUUCUUUGACUUCGUCGGUCUUCCUUAAGUAGGAUAAUUGGGUAACUUAUAAUUUGUAAAUUUGCCAGGGAAUCUUGUAAAUCAAACGUUAGAACAGUCUCUGUUACGAACCAUUUACUUUGGUUUUUUUUUAGAAAUUCUAGUAAUUUUUAUGGUAAAAUGAUCUUCCAGUACAAGGUAAGUAUUUGAAUAAGUAAGGUAUAAAAAGUAGACAGGAAUCGAUAUUGAAUUUUUCUACAGUCACAUACGCUGUUAAAUAUACUUUAAAAAUCACUUGGUAUUACGACUUUUCCUUUGUCGAGCAAUCAAAUGCAUAUAAGAAGAAUACACAUAUAACGAUGUACGUUUACACACACGCUACAUCCUGCCACUUCCUACCUACGAUCAUACUUCGUCUCUAAAAGGACAUUUUCGGGGAAUUUAUGUAUUUUAACUAAAACAACCCCCGAGAUAUAUGGCUCAACUUAAACAAUCAACUACCUACGCGAAUUUUUUAGCAAUCAUAUCCCAAAACUUCUUAAGGAAAUUUGUCUUUGAUAUAAGAGCCUUUACUUAAAUUUCAUACGAGAAGCAAUCACUUGAAAAAAGAAAUUACCUACGCAUUCGCAACUUAGCUUAGAAUUGUUCAUUUUCACGGACAUGAUAAUUUCUUAAAACCGGGAAUAUCGGAAUGUUACAUUUCUUAGGAAAGAAAAAUCACGACACUAUCCAUCCCACAAUCAACGAUCGUUCGAGAAAACAAUCUAACAUUCGCGGCUUUACUUGCCGCAAUUAAUUUACAUACCUACAAUUAACUUUAAUUUCCUUGAAACGAGGACACUGAACACUUACGUAUCUCGUGAUCCGAUCUAAAUAAAACCGUACUCGAUAACAACGAACAUUUACUUGCAAAUACAAAAUCAAGAAUCUAGGUCUACAGUCAGGACUCUGCCUUGACACAUAGCUCGGCCAGAGCAUUCUAUAAAUAAAAAAGAAAAAAUCCACCCUUUUCUGCACGCGUGAAACGGCGCAACGAUGGGCACUCACACACCGUCAGGGUGCGUAAGCUUAGUUAGGUGUAGGCGUGCACGUGCGUAAGCACAGAGGCGCAAGCGUACGGAGCACGCACACACAAGAGGCUAUCCUACGGGCCACGAGGAAAGUCGCAUAGGACCGCGUGUACAUGGCGCGGCGCGGCGGGCCGAGGCAACGAUCGAUGUCCCGCAAACUUCGAGCGGCAACGAGCACGUGGCACUUGUGUACGUACUCUAUAUAUAUUGCCGAGCGUACACCUCCACGCGGCCGAGGAAAAAACCGGAGAGGGAGAGAGAGAGAAACAGAGGGCAGGGGCAUGCUUAGCUUCCGGGUGCUGGGAUACUCCAUCCGGGAUCCGUGAAUUUUAGUAGAAAUUCGCUUUUACAAGAGCAUCGAUAGUUUGUAUUUUACAAUGAUACGGUAACCAAGUUCCGUUUAAGUUUCAAUUUUUAUGAUAGAAUAUCUUGCAUUUGAAUUUUCAGAAACCAGAUAAGCGUAGAGUAGUGAGAACUUUUUCGAAAUUUCAAGCUUUUCGAAUUUAAAUCGGUUCCUUUAGAAUGAAUUCUAAGACAUUCGUGCGGGUUGGAUUUUUAAGAAGAGUAAGGAUGAAAGAGAUGUUUCUGGAUACCGUAAGAGAUGUGUGUGAUGUCAAAGAGAUUGGAUUUAGAAUGGAAUUGGAAUAAGUGGAUAGAAGUAACGCGUAACAAGAGAUGAAGCGGGAGGAUGUAGAUCGUUUCGUGUAAAGUUCUGUAGGAAGCUCAUAGAAACGUAUAACGUAGGAAUAAAGAAUUCAUCGAGCAGGUUUUUGACAAAUCAAAUCACAGUUCGCAAAAUACGGAACUGCAUCGCUUUUCUUUCUUAUGUCCAUGCGAACGAUAUCGUGAGAGGAUUAGAAGGGUCGAGAGCAGGCGGGACGGUCGUCGAAACGCUGGGUGCAGACGAUGUUCACGGGGUGAGACCGAAAUGGCAUGCAACGGAAGGGUCUGUGUCGGAGGGCGAACGUCGGAGGUGAGGAACAAGAGGCGGGAGGACCCUACCUAAAGCAAAACACAAGACCGCGGGAUGUUUCGGCUAAGCGGAAAGGGUUUAUGGAGAAUUGGGGUAUCUCGUAAACUUGACCUAUCUGACCACGCGCUUAGGACAUUGUGCACCAGUGUCAGGCAAGCGGAAGUGGGUCAAAUUAAAUAUUAACCAACGUCUGCCGAAACUCUGUGAUCAAGCUGCCUGUAUAGGUAUGUAAAAUGACGAAAUUUCUGACCCACGUGAGAUCUAGACGCAAACGAGACACAUUGCUAGUGUGCUUCUGUGAAAUUUUUAUGUAACGCGCGUUUCUCUAUCGAGAUGAGAGGAACAAGCAGAACGGGUAUUACGCACUUAUGAAUAUUUUAUGUAUAAAAUACAGCAUCUACGUUUAUCUAUGUUUCAUUGAUGACUCGAAUAUGUAUAAUGUAUCUGGAUUUACAACGGCAUUAGAUGAUCCGUACAAACACUCGUGUUUCCAUUCAUACUCAUAGAAGAAUUCUUGGAAAUGUAAGCAUAAAUUACGACCAGUGUCACGAUCGUUAGUGAUCGUAAUAAACGAGAGUGACAAUCCGAUGGAUUAGUCAUCCUCUAUACUGGUAUACUUAGAAGUUUUAUAGAUCUUAGUUUAUGAGGCCGAAAACUACUUUGAAAGUGUUAUUUCCUCCUCUAAACUUCCUUAUUAUAAACUAUUCUAUAUCAUUAACUGAAUCCAUACAAGUAUAAAGUAACCAACGAUAUAAUUAGAAUAAAAUAUCGUUCGUCGUUAGUAAUUACAAAACGCCACAAUGAAAAUCGUUCGAAAUCGAUUGAAAUCGAUCUCCCCCUCGAGUAGGAGGUAAAGGGGAGGUGAGUACGAAUUCCGUUUCCGGAAAAAUCCGGUUGAAGGUAAUAAAGGCCGCGCGUCGACGCGCUGGCAGAAGCGGCAAUGGGCGAACGAAAGGGUUAGAGGUUCGAGAUUAAAAGGAAGUCACCCCCUCUGCCCCACCCUGCCCCUUCCCCCUCGUCUCUCCAUCAAUCACAAUUAUAUCCUCUCUCUCCCCAGCUAUCGUUCAUAAUUACUGCUCGUGACUUUAUCCCGACGCUGAACGUCGCUGGACCGGGGCCGUAUCGUCCGCUUCGUUCCGCUCCAGCCGAUCAACGGGGAUAGGUGAUAAGAGCGAACGAAAGAAAGCCACGAAUCAGAAAGGGACGACCCGUCGACUUGCGUUCAACGUUCAACCACGGAAACCCAGCAAGUUGGAUCUCUGAAAAUCAGUAAACAAGCAACUCGACGAGAAUGUUUCUCCGGCAUCGAACUCUCGAGUUGCGAACUCGGCUGGCACAUCGCGAGGGAUCCGAAGCGUCUUGAGGCCAUCGCUAGUUGCAGGCACCGAGGGUAGGAAGCGCGUAGAGCACAAGUGCACGCGGAUAGUGGAUGUUAGGUUGGCCAGGCGAGGGUGGCCAAGGGGAUGAAAGGGGACCAGCAGGCCUCGAGAGUGAAUACGGCAUACAGGAGCAGCACGCACAAGUA